UACAGGGGGGGCAAGCGUUGUUCGGAAUUACUGGGCGUAAAGGGUCUGUAGGUGGCCAACUAAGUCAGACGUGAAAUCCCUCAGCUUAACUGGGGAACUGCGUCUGAUACUGGAUGGCUUGAGUGUGGGAGAGGAAUGCGGAAUUCCAGGUGUAGCGGUGAAAUGCGUAGAUAUCUGGAGGAACACCGGUGGCGAAGGCGGCAUUCUGGUCGGAUACUGACGCUAAAACGCGAAAGCGUGGGGAGCAAACAGG
rnacentral:rRNA from 1 species